CGAACGCUGGCGGCGUGCUUAACACAUGCAAGUCGAACGGUGAAGCGCCUUCCUUUUUGGUGGGUGUGGAUGAGUGGCGAACGGGUGAGUAACACGUGAGUAACCUGCCCCCUUCUUCUGGAUAACCGCAUGAAAGUGUGGCUAAUACGGGAUAUUCUGGGUCUGUCGCAUGAUGGGUCUGGGAAAGAUAUUGUUUCGGUGGGGGAUGGGCUCGCGGCCUAUCAGCUUGUUGGUGGGGUGAUGGCCUACCAAGGCGGUGACGGGUAGCCGGCCUGAGAGGGUGGACGGUCACACUGGGACUGAGACACGGCCCAGACUCCUACGGGAGGCAGCAGUGGGGAAUAUUGCACAAUGGGCGCGAGCCUGAUGCAGCGACGCCGCGUGAGGGAUGGAGGCCUUCGGGUUGUGAACCUCUUUCGCCAGUGAAGCAGGCCUGCCUCGUUUGUGGGUGGGUUGACGGUAGCUGGAUAAGAAGCGCCGGCUAACUACGUG
rnacentral:rRNA from 1 species